UUUCCGUAGGUGAACCUGCGGAAGGAUCAUUCAUAAUAAGUGUUUUAUGGCACUUUUUUAAAUCCAUAUCCACCUUGUGUACAAUGUCAGGGUUGAUUUUUCUCUCGAGAGGAUCAACCCCAAACAUCAGCUAUAUCUCAACUCUUUGUCUGAAAAAUAUUAUGAAUAAAACAAUUCAAAAUACAACUUUCAACAACGGAUCUCUUGGCUCUC
rnacentral:misc_RNA from 1 species